GUGGCCGUAGCUCAACGGCAGAGCGGCGGGUCGUGACCCCGCCGGUGUCGGUUCAACUCCGACCGGCCACC
rnacentral:tRNA from 1 species